UUUAAUUGAUCACAAUUAUUAUCAGUACUCGUGACUGGACCAUCGUUAGUAUUCAAUGCAUAAACGUUGGGAUCGAAAGGGAAAGCUGCUUUUAUUUUUGGAGAUGCUGAAGCAAAAGGUAUGCUAUCAAAUUUGCUUGGAUAAUUAUAGCCCGGUGCCCAAGUUGCAGACCGUUGCAUUCCCAAGUCCAGAUCAUCACCGAAGCUAGAUUGUAGUAAAUUGUUACAUGAGCCCUCAUCCUCCGUGACACCACUAUAGAACAUAGUUGUCAGCGUUUCGUCUGAAAAGAGAGCGUUCUGACGGUUCGGUGCUACUUCAGGGCAACUAUUGGAAAUCUGAUUCAAAUCUUCGUACAGCAAUGAUGCGCAGCCGUCUCCUUCAAUAACUAAAGAGAUACAAACAACAUUAGCUUUCGGCGGUGUUUUGAAAUCAGUUUUCCAAGAGUUUAAGGGUGAACUUGUCAACGACAAGGCAGUUGAUUUUUUCAUUUUGACAUUUUCAGAAUUCAAUGGUUGCAAACCAUUAGCAUCGGACCGAUAAAGGCCUUGAAGCCUUGAUUUCUGUCUAUUAAUUUUCCGUUUGUUCCGAUUAUUAAUGAUAAGUUUAACGGGAUCGACAGAAACGGGUUCAUCCCUAAUCUUAUCAAAGAGGAAGGGACUCUUGUUUUUGUCAGAACACAUUUGGUGCGACCGAGAAAAGCCAGGAUUGCUUGGUGAAU